rnacentral:rRNA from 1 species
GUGCCAGCAGCCGCGGUAAUACGUAGGGUGCGAGCGUUGUCCGGAAUUAUUGGGCGUAAAGAGCUCGUAGGCGGCUUGUUGCGUCUGCCGUGAGAAUUCACAGCUUAACUGUGGACGUGCGGUGGAUACGGGCAGGCUUGAGUUCGGUAGGGGAGACUGGAAUUCCUGGUGUAGCGGUGAAAUGCGCAGAUAUCAGGAGGAACACCGGUGGCGAAGGCGGGUCUCUGGGCCGAUACUGACGCUGAGGAGCGAAAGCGUGGGGAGCGAACAGGAUUAGAUACCCUGGUAGUCC